rnacentral:piRNA from 1 species
UGACCAAGUCUUCCUGUGUUUGUGUU